GCUUCUUCUUCCAGUGGGCUAGAGUGUGGUGCUGAUGAUGCCAAGGGUGCAGGUUCGAUCCCUGUAGGGGACA